rnacentral:sRNA from 1 species
AGACCGGCCAGCAGAUUAAGGAGAAGGCACAAGGAGCUACCGAAUCAGUGAAGAACGCCACCGGCAUGAACAAAUGAAUACAA